rnacentral:rRNA from 1 species
CAGUCGCCACGGGAAUACGUAGGUGGCAAGCGUUGUCCGGAAUUAUUGGGCGUAAAGGGCUCGCAGGCGGUUUCUUAAGUCUGAUGUGAAAGCCCCCGGCUCAACCGGGGAGGGUCAUUGGAAACUGGGAAACUUGAGUGCAGAAGAGGAGAGUGGAAUUCCACGUGUAGCGGUGAAAUGCGUAGAGAUGUGGAGGAACACCAGUGGCGAAGGCGACUCUCUGGUCUGUAACUGACGCUGAGGAGCGAAAGCGUGGGGAGCGAACAGGAUUAGAUACCCCAGUAGUCCCUGUCUCUUAUAU